GCGCAUGCAGGUGGUUUGUUAAGUCAGAUGUGAAAGCCCGGGGCUCAACCCUCGGAAUUGCAUUUGAAACUGGCAAACUAGAGUACUGUAGAGGGGGUAGAAUUUCAGGUGUAGCGGUGAAAUGCGUAGAGAUCUGAAGGAAUACCGGUGGCGAAGGCGGCCCCCUGGACAGAUACUGACACUCAGAUGCGAAAGCGUGGGGAGCAAACAGGAUUAGAUACCCUGGUAG
rnacentral:rRNA from 1 species